CUUACUAAUAAAAAAUCACUAUACAUGCGUUAUGACAAGGUGAUAGUAAUUCAGUGAAUAGAGCUUGUACAGGGCAUAAACUCCUCUUUGACCAAUAAUCGAUGUGUAUUGGUUGAAUAACAAAACGACCCUUAUUUAUUGUUACCCUGGCAACCCGCCGUGUUUGAUUGACGUUUGAUUUAAUAAUUUUGAUACGACUCAUAAUUCUAAUGUAAGUUGUAUUUAUUUUAUCAACCAAAGCAAUUAUAUACACAUUUACUCAAUAUACUAAUAACAUUUUAUUAUUUGCAGCUAAUAGAAACUCCAAAACCUCAGACAAAGAGGACUAGAAUUUUACAUAAAAAGCCGCGUUCUGCAGUACAAAAGUUAGAAGAGGCAUCUCAAAUAGUGGAAAGUGCCAAACUCCGCAACACGGUAGUGUUCCAGUGUUUCCAGGAAGAGAACAAAACAAAGGCAGAUGGCUGAAACACAUGAGCUCAAACAGAAGCGACUCGCCGAAGCUCACGAAAGGGCUAGACAGAAGCAUCUUCUAAGGCUCAAAUUGUUACAGCAGCAAUUAAAUAAAUAAUUAUAUACUUAUAAAAAAAAUAAAACCCCCGUUUUAAAUGAAA